CCAGUGAUGAAAGAAUGUAAGUAUUCUCUGUAAGCGUUUGUAAGCACAUUAUAUUAAAUCUAGAAGCUGGUUGCUUGAAAGAACACUUCUUUCUUUUAACUUUUUAUUCCUCUACAGCAUUGCAACAAUGUCCUGUCUGCACAAAAAUGUUUUCCACUGACUUAAUUGAGGUACAUGCUUCCUCGUGUGGAGAAGGUGCAGGAAAUGAGGGAAUGCAUGAAGGUACUGUCAGUGAGGAGGAGCAAGCAGCAAUGCCAGGACCAUCUGGAGCUUUUCCAGCAGUCAGUGAUGGCUGGCUAACUAUCAGUGACCCUAUUAAGGCUAUAUCUGCCUGCACAGCUUAUUUUCUCCAUAUUCAUGAAAUGGAAAGUCCAUUACUUCUAAGCAUGGACAUGAGAAAGAGUCCUGCUGAACAGGAUCUGGCACUUAUUUCUUUCUACAAGCGGCCUAAUGUGGAAUGGGCACGUCCCCUGAAUUGCAGACUUGAAGGAGAUACUGCUAUUGGAGAGGGAGUCACUUGCUUUUUC